GAUGAACGCUGGCGGCGUGCCUAAUACAUGCAAGUCGAGCGAACAGACGAGGAGCUUGCUCCUCUGAUGUUAGCGGCGGACGGGUGAGUAACACGUGGAUAACCUACCUAUAAGACUGGGAUAACUUCGGGAAACCGGAGCUAAUACCAGAUAACAUGUUGAAAAGCAUGGUUCAACAGUGAAAGACGGUCUUGAUGUCACUUAUAGAUGGAUCCGCGCCGCAUUAGCUAGUUGGUAAGGAAACGGCUUACCAAGGCAACGAUGCGUAGCCGACCUGAGAGGGUGAUCGGCCACACUGGAACUGAGACACGGUCCAGACUCCUACGGGAGGCAGCAGUUGGUCAUUGUCCGCAAUGGGCUAAUGCCUGACUGAGUAACUCCUCGUUAGUGAAGAAGGUCUUCGGAUCGUAAAACUCUGUUAUUAGGGAAGAACACAUGUGUAAGUAACUAUGCACGUCUUUACUGUACCUAAUCAGAAAGCCACGGCUAACUACGUG
rnacentral:rRNA from 1 species